rnacentral:rRNA from 1 species
AGUAACACGUGAGUGACCUGCCUUUUAGACUGGAACAACUUACCGAAAGGUGAGCUAAUGCCGGAUGAGUUAUAUAAGUGCAUGUUUAUAUAGGAAAAGUUGGGGAGACCUGACGCUGAAAGAUGGACUCGCGUCCCAUUAGCUAGUUGGUAGGGUAAUGGCCUACCAAGGCGACGAUGGGUAGCCGGCCUGAGAGGGUGGCCGGCCACACUGGGACUGAGACACAGCCCAGACUCCUACGGAAGGCAGCAG